UCGGGAAUUUUGGGCAAUGGGCGAAAGCCUGACCCAGCAACGCCGCGUGAGGGAUGAAGUAUUUCGGUAUGUAAACCUCGAAAGAAUGGGAAGAAUAAAUGACGGUACCAUUUAUAAGCUCCGGCUAACUACGUGCCAGCAGCCGCGGUAAUACGGAGGGAGCAAGCGUUGUUCGGAUUUACUGGGCGUAAAGGGCGCGUAGGCGGCGCGGUAAGUCACUUGUGAAAUCUCUGAGCUUAACUCAGAACGGCCAAGUGAUACUGCUGUGCUAGAGUGCGGAAGAGGCAACCGGAAUUCUUGGUGUAGCGGUGAAAUGCGUAGAUAUCAAGAGGAACACCUGAGGCGAAGGCGGGUUGCUGGGCCGGCACUGACGCUGAUGCGCGAAAGCCAGGGGAGCAAACG
rnacentral:rRNA from 1 species